rnacentral:rRNA from 1 species
GAUGAACGCUGGCGGCGUGCCUAAUACAUGCAAGUCGAGCGAACGGACGAGAAGCUUGCUUCUCUGAUGUUAGCGGCGGACGGGUGAGUAACACGUGGAUAACCUACCUAUAAGACUGGGAUAACUUCGGGAAACCGGAGCUAAUACCGGAUAAUAUUUUGAACCGCAUGGUUCAAAAGUGAAAGACGGUCUUGCUGCCACUUAUAGAUGGAUCCGCGCUGCAUUAGCUAGUUGGUAAGGUAACGGCUUACCAAGGCAACGAUGCAUAGCCGACCUGAGAGGGUGAUCGGCCACACUGGAACUGAGACACGGUCCAGACUCCUACGGGAGGCAGCAGUAGGGAAUCUUCCGCAAUGGGCGAAAGCCUGACGGAGCAACGCCGCGUGAGUGAUGAAGGUCUUCGGAUCGUAAAACUCUGUUAUUAGGGAAGAACAUAUGUGUAAGUAACUGUGCACAUCUUGACGGUACCUAAUCAGAAAGCCACGGCUAACUACGUGCCAGCAGCCGCGGUAAUACGUACGUGGCAAGCGUUAUCCGGACUUAUUGGGCGUAAAGCGCGCGUAGGCGGUUUUUUAAGUCUGAUGUGAAAGCCCACGGCUCAACCGUGGAGGGUCAUUGGAAACUGGAAAACUUGAGUGCAGAAGAGGAAAGUGGAAUUCCAUGUGUAGCGGUGAAAUGCGCAGAGAUAUGGAGGAACACCAGUGGCGAAGGCGACUUUCUGGUCUGUAACUGACGCUGAUGUGCGAAAGCGUGGGGAUCAAACAGGAUUAGAUACCCUGGUAGUCCACGCCGUAAACGAUGAGUGCUAAGUGUUAGGGGGUUUCCGCCCCUUAGUGCUGCAGCUAACGCAUUAAGCACUCCGCCUGGGGAGUACGACCGCAAGGUUGAAACUCAAAGGAAUUGACGGGGACCCGCACAAGCGGUGGAGCAUGUGGUUUAAUUCGAAGCAACGCGAAGAACCUUACCAAAUCUUGACAUCCUUUGACAACUCUAGAGAUAGAGCCUUCCCCUUCGGGGGACAAAGUGACAGGUGGUGCAUGGUUGUCGUCAGCUCGUGUCGUGAGAUGUUGGGUUAAGUCCCGCAACGAGCGCAACCCUUAAGCUUAGUUGCCAUCAUUAAGUUGGGCACUCUAAGUUGACUGCCGGUGACAAACCGGAGGAAGGUGGGGAUGACGUCAAAUCAUCAUGCCCCUUAUGAUUUGGGCUACACACGUGCUACAAUGGACAAUACAAAGGGCAGCGAAACCGCGAGGUCAAGCAAAUCCCAUAAAGUUGUUCUCAGUUCGGAUUGUAGUCUGCAACUCGACUACAUGAAGCUGGAAUCGCUAGUAAUCGUAGAUCAGCAUGCUACGGUGAAUACGUUCCCGGGUCU